AUUGAACGCUGGCGGCAGGCCUAACACAUGCAAGUCGAGCGGAUGAAGGGAGCUUGCUCCUGGAUUCAGCGGCGGACGGGUGAGUAAUUCCUAGGAAUCUGCCUGGUAGUGGGGGAUAACGUCCGGAAACGGGCGCUAAUACCGCAUACGUCCUGAGGGCGAACGUGGGGGAUCUUCGGACAUCACGCUAUCAGAUGAGCCUAGGUCGGAUUAGCUAGUUGGUGGGGUAAAGGCCUACCAAGGCGACGAUCCGUAACUGGCCUGAGAGGAUGAUCAGUCACACUGGAACUGAGACACGGUCCAGACUCCUACGGGAGGCAGCAGUGGGGAAUAUUGGACAAUGGGCGAAAGCCUGAUCCAGCCACGCCGCGUGUGUGAAGAAGGUCUUCGGAUUGUAAAGCACUUUAAGUUGGGAGGAACGGCAGUAAGUUAAUACCUUGCUGUUUUGACGGUACCAACAGAAUAAGCACCGGCUAACUUCGUG
rnacentral:rRNA from 1 species